CGCGAGUACGGUGGAAGUGUGUG
rnacentral:siRNA from 1 species